rnacentral:rRNA from 1 species
UACGUAGGGGGCAAGCGUUAUCCGGAUUCACUGGGCGUAAAGGGAGCGCAGGUGGUUUAUUAAGUCUGGUGUAAAAGGCAGUGGCUCAACCAUUGUAUGCAUUGGAAACUGGUAGACUUGAGUGCAGGAGAGGAGAGUGGAAUUCCAUGUGUAGCGGUGAAAUGCGUAGAUAUAUGGAGGAACACCGGUGGCGAAAGCGGCUCUCUGGCCUGUAACUGACACUGAGGCUCGAAAGCGUGGGGAGCAAACAGG